rnacentral:lncRNA from 1 species
AAGAAGAUCGUGUGAAGCGUUCUUUGUUUCACUCUUCAAACCAACCUAACAUGGCUUCUCACUAGUGACCCCUCACCUUGCACUGCUGCACUUCGUGUCUUAUGAUCCCAUCUGGUCGCCGUGUCGCCAGACGGUCAUCUCUUGGAGCAUUGCCUAAGUUUAAUGCUGCUUUUCUUUGAUGUUUUUCCUUCUACUUUGGCAUGUGUCUGGUUGAGCACUUGUUCUGAGGACAGCAGAGACAGCAGGCGGUCAGGAGGCCUGACUGAGAGCGUGGACCGUGGGUGUGGAUGAACCCUGCAGUGCUGCCGCUGCCGCAAGCCACGGGCCGUACGCGGAGGACGGCCUUCUGUGUUCCCGUCUUGCAGAGUGAAGGGGUCGUCUUAGUUACACACUUAUAAGUUUGGGGGAGAAAUCAUAUUUUAACCCCAGUGUAUUUAAUCUUCUAGCUGUGGACUUUUUUUUUUUUUUUUUUUUACCUUAUGUAGUUGAAGGAACCACAGAGGCCAAGCCUCAAUAAAGCCACAGGCCAGGGACUGAGGGAGGGGCAAACUAAUAUUUUGUAACGAAUUCUUAAGAAAUACUAACAUUUGAGUCUUAGCAAUAAGUACAGGAAAAUAAGCGUGACACACACAUCUUAACAUUGCUGAAUUAAAGCUAUUGGUUCUGAGGCCUUAUACAUACUUGGUCAUCCAACCUGGGUAAUUUUUUUCCAGUUGAUUAUCUUUUAAUUUUUACAUAUGAAGGUGUUCUGUUCUUUUUUUUUUUUUUUAAGCCAAGACUAUACUAAGUAUAGAAACUACACUUGUGUUUGCACUUGCUUUCUCCUCUUUCCUAAGUGAUUCUAAGCAGGGUAAUUUGCAGACAGAGUGGUGAGACUCGUUUCCACAAGGUAAUUUUCAUAGCUCUUUCCAUUGGCUCCGUAGCAAAAUGGAAUGGUACGUGACAUAGGGUAGGUGAUAUUUUUAUUUUGUUAAAUAAUUUUCCAAGAAACAGAAUAUGCUGUAUAUUAUCAUAAAUUUCUUUGAUAAGAUGUAUUUUUAAAAUCUUUUAAUCUUACUCCUCUCCUCCAAAUAAAAUCAGGAAUCUCUAGCAAAACAUUUGGAUUCUAUCUGAUAGGAUUGCAUUUAGUCACUGUGAAGUCUGGCCGGCCUGUGUGGUAUGGACACAGGACCUCUAGGAUCGCUGCUGUGCAGAGUGGCUGGACCAGUGGGACUCAGGCCCUUCCAAGGGAUGCACACCCAGCUGCUUCAUGGUACCCGCAGGAUGCAAGACAGUUUGACUUUAGUGAGCACAGUAGUACAUGGAUGCUCUCAGUUAAGAUUGAACUAUAUUUAUUUUUAAAAGGUAUUAUCCCUCUACUUCCAGGUUCCCUUCAUGUAUUAAGACAUAAUGGCUUUGGGAGGGACCAAAAGAAACCCAGUAGGGUGUGGACAGGUCCUGUAGUGCUGGCUCACUAGUGGAUUUCAGUAAGUUAAACUCCACAGCUAAGUCAAUAAAUAAUGGUACAUUUAAGUAUUCUGACUUUAAUAAUAUAACACGUUUCACACUUAUCCAUACAGUAACAAUGUAAUAUGUUAAUGUAAAUAAAAUUGCUUUUGAUAUUCAGAAAUAACAAUUUAAUUUUUUUAAUUUGUUUACAGCCCUGGGAAAAGUAAGAACCAUUUGCCAAAAUAAAAGGAAACCCCUUAGUGUUAGUAGUGAUUUUAACAUAGAAUCACUGGAGACUACUGGAGACAGAUGCAGCAAACUGAGCUCUUGUAAAGGCUGCCUUAGAAUAACUGUCAGAGCAGAUAACCAAGGCUGGGAGGCUGAGAUGCCAGCUGAGUUUAGCCGCAGGAGGCCCGUGGCUUAGCUGCCAGGCCCGGCUCCCCACCGCAGUACUGCUGGGGUGCACCCCGCUCUGGCUCCUGCAACCGUGGGCAGCACAGACUGAGGCUGCUGUAACUCUAGUUGCUUGGCUUUUUUAAAGUCAUUGAGUUCCAUUACUGGCCCAUUACUGUUUUGCUUCCCCCAUCAAAACAGGACAACUUAUAAAUGUGCACUCUUCCUGUAGCGGGUUUCCCCAUAGUUCUUAAACUGCCCCACUUGAGCUCCUAUGGAAAGAUCAAACGGAGCCACUUCUGACCAGUACAUCCCAGGAAACUGGGGCAGCAUUCCAGUUUUAUCUAAUAGACAGAACUUCCAGCUUUUGAGGAAAGUCUAUCUUUGCAAGCAACUGAACCUACAGAGCUUAAAGUAUCACUAGCUGCCCCUCCCCCAAAGGAGACUCUAAUUACAGGAGCAGCUGAAGGUCUGAGUAAUGUCCCAUUUUACACAAUUUGGUGUGAGUUCUGUGAUUCAUUUUCAAUUUGUGUUUCCCUGACUUAAAAGAAAACAAAAAAACACUAACGGCUGUGUUUGUGCGUUUGGCUGGUACUCCUCCCCUGGGCUCCCAUGCCCUCACUGUGGGGACACUGCACUCUGCUGGACAGUUACUCUUGCCUGCAUAGUGCUGAGGCCGGAGCCUGGACAGUGCAGACUGCCACAGCCCCAGUGGGGGGACUCGCCCCAGCAACCACUUCCUUGGGGGGUUUAAGGUUGCAAGUUUCCUCUGGGAGAUCUGGCUUUUGUUUUCCAGGUUUGGAGGAGUUUCCCCCCCCCCCUUUUUUUUUCUACAUUACUCCCCAAGCAUAUUGAAGCAUGUCUUAUUCAAUGUUAUGCAAUGGACUUCCACAAAAAUUCACUUAGUGUCAGCCACACAAUUUUUUUUUAAUGCGGUAUAUUCCCCUGUAAAUAGUUUGUGUAAAAUUUGACAGAAAAGUCUAUUUACUACAUUGUAAAUACAUGUGAUGAUAUAUUGUAUUAUUUUGCUUUUUUGUAAAGCAGUUAGUUGCUGUACAUGGAUAACAAACAAAAAUUUGA